GACGAACGCUGGCGGCGUGCUUAACACAUGCAAGUCGAACGGAAAGGCCCUGCUUUUGCGGGGCGCUCGAGUGGCGAACGGGUGAGUAACACGUGAGUAACCUGCCCUUGACUUUGGGAUAACUUCAGGAAACUGGGGCUAAAACCGGAUAGGAUCUCUUGCUGCAUGGUGGGGGUUGGAAAGUUCCGGCGGUUGGGGAUGGACUCGCAGGUUAUGAGCUUGUUGGUGGGGUAGUGGCUUACAAAGGGUGCGACGGGUAGCCGGCCUGAGAGGGUGACCGGCCACAAUGGGACUGAGAUACGGCCCAGUCUGCAACGGGAGGCAGCAGUGGGGAGUAUUACACAGUGGGCGGGAGCGUGAGGCAGCGACGCCGCGUGCGGAAUAACGGCCUACGGGUUAUGAACCGCUUUCGACGGUGACGAGGAGUGAGUGACGGUAAUGGGUAAAGAAGCACCGGCUAACUACGUG
rnacentral:rRNA from 1 species